GAUGUUACAUUCGUUUGACUUAUCUCGACAUGAAACAUUCCUGGCGUUACAUUGAUCCUGAUCCUGUUGGGUAUUGCAUCUAGUGACGUCACUACAAUACGGGUACGUUGUGACAAAAUGUUGAUGCCUGGGAAGCAGAAUUUCGAGUGAGUUCUGCGAGACGGUACAGUCCCUUCCUUGCAACCGUCAGUGG